UACGUAGGGUGCAAGCGUUAAUCGGAAUUACUGGGCGUAAAGCGUGCGCAGGCGGUUAUGUAAGACAGGUGUGAAAUCCCCGGGCUUAACCUGGGAACUGCAUUUGUGACUGCAUAGCUAGAGUACGGCAGAGGGGGAUGGAAUUCCGCGUGUAGCAGUGAAGUGCGUAGAUAUGCGGAGGAACACCGAUGGCGAAGGCAGCCCCCUGGGCUGAGAUUGGCGCUCAGGCACGAAAGCGUGGGGAGCAAACAGG
rnacentral:rRNA from 1 species